rnacentral:sRNA from 1 species
CAAGCACCUCGGUAGGUGAGGCGUCUGCAUGGAUACAGGCCACUGACCCCGAACGUCGAGAGACGCCCCGGGUCAGGACAGCUCCUCCCGGCUUAAGGGUUGAGCCCAAGUGGCUUCCGGCGAGGUCCGGAUACGCCGUGCAGUGCCGAAGCUCCGACGAGAGGGGUGCGCC